AUCACCCUCUCGUCGAGAGGACACAUGGCGUGGCGAGCCUCAACCGUCACGAAGCGUGAACUCUUGGCGAAAAGGAGCACUUUCGUGUCCGCUGGUUAACUUCAAUUUCUAACGUUUCAAAAAGGCUGGAGGGAUGUGGCUCCUUCGGGAGUGUUAUAACCCUUAGCGGAAUGUGGUGGUCGGGAUUGAGGAUUGCAACGAAUACCUUUGGGGCUGUUCCACCUGGCCUCUCUUUGGUAUCCUGGUGACGACAGCUUGCUGACGUUGUUAGGAUUCGCCAUUGAACAGGCUAGAGUGUGAGCAAAUUCGUUAAGGAUGUUAACGUAAUGGCUUU
rnacentral:rRNA from 1 species